rnacentral:rRNA from 1 species
ACGCUCGACACCUACGAGAGGCAGCAGUGGGGAAUAUUGCACAAUGGAGGAAACUCUGAUGCAGCGAUGCCGCGUGAGGGAAGAAGGUUUUCGGAUUGUAAACCUCUGUCUUUGGGGACGAUAAUGACGGUACCCAAGGAGGAAGCUCCGGCUAACUACGUGCUAGCAGCCGCGGUAAUCUGAGCGGGCUGGCAAGGC